UUAAGUACUGCAUUAUUUACAUAAAAUGAAUUAAAUGAUGAAUUAGGCAAUCGUCCCUGGUCUCCCUUUCUCCCUUACAAAUGAUGAAUUAGACAUUUUACUUUAUCCAUGUUCCCCCUUUCAAUCAACUGAAACAAGAAUGCUAAAAAAAACAGAAAAAACAAAAUCGACUGAAACAAGGGAAAUUCUAUUCCUUCUCUCCUCUGAAAUUAAAUCCACCUCCGCCGAAACUCUUCUCACUCAAUUCGAUUGAAAGGGAUAGAUACAUGCAAAGAGAUAGAGAUAGAGAUAGAGAGAGAGAGAUCAUGGAGUUGUCUGCAAUUGGGGAAGAAGCUUUCAUCAGGGGAAAGAAGUUCUUUGUCAAAAUGGAGCUCCCUUCUCUUGUUUAAAAUUAAAUCUGCCUCCGCUGCUGGCCCCUGGAAGAACGGCGGACGGCCGCCGCCUUCACCGGUCCUCUUCCCCUCAAACGUGUUGCCCCAACUCUUCUCAAUCUAGGGUUUGCGCCGCUAGAGACAGUGGUACAUGGGAAAGAAGGAAGAGAAGGGAGUUUGGCUUGCGGUUGAGGGGUGAAGAUACGGCGACAGGUUUAGAGAGAAGACGACUAGGGUUUCGUGGUUCACAGAGGUGGGCCGCCGAAAAUUGAAGAGAUAAGGGAAAGGGGGUGGCUUGUGGUUUUGUUGUCGGAAAUUGAAGAGAGAAGGGGAAGGGGUUGGCGGUGACUGCGGCGGUGAUGGUAGCCGACAAAGAACGCCGGAGGUGCGGCAGGGGACUGUGUCGCCGGAGUUUCUAUGCUUGUGACCGUUGAAGAGGGGAGGAAAGCUAGAGAGAGAGAGGUGAGAAAUGAAGUCAAAAUGACAAAUGAAAA
rnacentral:lncRNA from 1 species